CAUUCCAGGGCCAGCCUGGCUCCGACAUCCCAGGGAAUUGUGUCACUCCCAUUGGGAAGCUGUGGUGGCCUCUCCCACAUGGCCUAGGUCCACUACUCCGUUAAAGGUCACAUAGCCCAGACAAAAAUAGGACACAGCAGCGUGUCAACAAGCCAGGCUUUCUCCUUCCUUCCACCUAAUAAAAGGUGCCUCACGUUGUUGAAACACAGUCCAUUUCCCCUGGGAAUAGAACAGGAACGGCAGGAAUCUUAGGGAUGCUGGCUUUCAAGGAAUACCUCAUGACAGGCAUCAAGAUAAACCUGACCUGAUGAAGAGAACACAAGCCAGAAUCUGCGAAUCAGGAGCAAAGUGACUCAGCUUCCGGGACAGGCAUGUAAUGAGGUCAUGAAGGAGGAGACUCCCUGCAGGGCCAGAGAACCCUGCUCCCUGGGCUGUUCCGUCUCUUUCAGGGUAAAAUAAUUAUUUAUUUCCAAUCAUCUUUGUACGUAAAGAUUGACAUGUUGACAAGUUGAAUUCCUGCUUCAUCUGGAGGGCUGCACAGUGUGUCUAAGAGAGGAUUUUCAGGAGGCCAGAAUAUCAAGUUGGAGGGAUGAUUAGUGUUUUGGGAGAUUGCUACCUGUUUUCAGUCAGAUCAUUGCCACUUUCCCCCCCCAUCUGGAUACUUCAGCUGUUUUCCUUCACUAAUGUUUCCAAAACACACAACAACAGUCGACAUCACUCUCAUAUAAACAGCUCUCCCAUGUCACUGAGAAAAAGAGCAAGAUCCCGGAGGAAAAAUGGAUACAGGAUAUAAACAGAAAAUUCUCAAAACAGGCAUUUCGAAAUGUCAACAAACAGGCAAAACAUCAACAGCGCUAAUAUGACUGGGUCUCACUAUGUUGCCCAGGCCAUUCUGGAACUCCUGUGCUUAAGUGAUCCUCCUGCCUCAGCCUCCCAAGUAACUGGGAUUGUAAGUGUGAGCCACUGUGCCCAGCAAUUACAAAAUAUUUGGAAUGCAAUCGGGAAGCACAGCUGAAAAACUUCAGCAAGUUGGGCCAUUUGAUUGUACAGUCACAUUUCUUAGAAUUUAUCCUAUGGAAAUAGUAGUCAAGUUCACAAAAACUGACAAUAGUCAUGACAGAAAAAGAGAAGAAGAAGCAAUAAAAAUCACUAAAACCUACCAACAGGAGAUUGGUCAAAUAAAUCAUGCUGUAUCUGUGCAAUGGGCUAUCACGUAACCAUUAAAAUGGUCGUCUAUU